rnacentral:rRNA from 1 species
GAUGAACGCUGGCGGCGUGCCUAAUACAUACAAGUCGAACGAAACUUCUUUAUCACCGAGUGCUUGCACUCACCGAUAAAGAGUUGAGUGGCGAACGGGUGAGUAACACGUGGGCAACCUGCCCAAAAGAGGGGGAUAACACUUGGAAACAGGUGCUAAUACCGCAUAACCAUAGUUACCGCAUGGUAACUAUGUAAAAGGUGGCUAUACUACCGCUUUUGGAUGGGCCCGCGGCGCAUUAGCUAGUUGGUAGGGUAAAGGCUUACCAAGGCAAUGAUGCGUAGCCGAAUUGAGAGGUUGAUCGGCCACAUUGGGACUGAGACACGGCCCAAACUCCUACGGGAGGCAGCAGUAGGGAAUCUUCCACAAUGGGCGAAAGCCUGAUGGAGCAACGCCGCGUGGGUGAAGAAGGUCUUCGGAUCGUAAAACCCUGUUGUUAGAGAAGAAAGUGCGUGAGAGUAACUGUUCACGUUUCGACGGUAUCUAACCGGAAAGCCACGGCUAACUACGUG